UUUGAAAGUCACAUUCAGUGCCAUUAGUAUUAUACAGAGAACCUUUACAAAGAGCUGUUUGUCUGUGCAGGUAUUUCUGUGGCCAUAUAUUGCUCUGUGUACCAGGUGGCAUUUAUCUACAAAAGCAGUGUGCAUCUUUCUGCUCACUGGGUUCAUAUACAAGAGAUGAAUUUCCUGUAUGUUAAAAUAUAAAAAUAUCAGAAGGACAUAGUCAUUUUCACCAGUCUUAGCUUGCAAAUCUCUGAAUGAGGCCAAUUAGGUCUGGGUGGAGAAGGAGCUCAAGAAGAGAAGGCCAUUUGAAGGAAAUACCCCUUUGGUGAGUUCAGUAGAAAGACCAUCUGCUGAGCUUGUGCUGUCUUUCAUUCUGCAAAUCCAGUUAGAAAUUCAAGGGCAUGUUUCUGUAUUUACUAUACCAGAUGCAUUUUUCUUGUGGAUGCAGACCUAUAAGGUGACAAAUCUGUCUGGUGAUGGGGAAAACCAGUUUGCAUCAUCAAUAGUUGAAACAAGGUAAAAAGCAAAACAAACAGCAGGUACAAGAAAAGUAAAAAUCAGACGUCUGAAAGGAUUUUUUCAGGAUAACAGCUUUAAUCUCAGGAUUCCUGCAGACCUCUUUGGUACUAUGGAGCUUCCCUUCCAUGACCACAGGUCCAAGGAAUUGCAGAGGAACAAAGCAAGGAUCUGCUUUGCAAGGAGAAGAGCCUUGAGGGAGAGCACCGGGGUCCAUUCAGUCCCUAUUAAAAGCACUGGGAGUGAAGUCAAAUUGAGGAAGAACCUCCUUGGGUGGGCAGAACAAAGUCACAGAGCCCAUGGGAAGGCAGUGCCGCAUGAUGAGGAGCUGUGCCAGGGCUGGAGAAAGCCUGAGUCCUGCUGCAUCCCGAAGGAAGCAGAGAUGAUGGGCUUGUGUGGCUUCAAGCAUAAGGUAAAAAGGAAGAUUUUGCACAAAGCAGGAUUAAGCCGUGAAGACAGAAUUUCAGAAGAGCAGUGCAGCCCCCAUUUCAUUUCCUAUGGCGCAGAGAGCACGCAGCAUUCAGGAUGGUCACAUCUAGUAGAACAUACCCGUGAUGUUACCACAGCGUUGCUCCAUCAGCAGGCAGCGGCACACAGCAGGGACGGAGCCAGGCAUGCAGCAUGGCCAGCACACAGCCCUGCCGAGAGCCCACCAUGCACUCCUCUGCCUUGCGUCACCACUUCAGCCCAAGCUCCUGAGCCAACGUCUCUGCCCCACAUUCAGCUCCAAGCAUUCUGAAGGUGAGUCUGUGCCACCUUGCCCAGUGUGAUGCACUGAUUGAUGCUCUGUUGCAGUCAUUACAUGUCCUGGUGGUUUGCAGGAUAAUGCUGUGCAACUUAACGAUAUCACAGUUGCACAAAUCAAGUGGAAGAAGCCAAGGUCUAGAAUCUCCAGCAUUCAAUUCUUCUAAUGGCCUUGGGCUCAUCUGCAGCAGGCAGGGUCACAGGGCAUGGUUUAUAGAAAAAUUUCAUACCUGAACACCCCAAAAGCUGUUGCAGUGGCCUGGGGUGCUUGGCCUUUCAGGGCCCUCAGUGAUACUUACACAGAAUGUAUGGGCAGAAGACUGAGUGCCAACAUGUGCUCUUGGAUCUCAGUUAGUAAAGUGUGACUCUGCAAGUUGUUUCAAUAAAUCAACUCUUUGAAAUUUAAUGAGGGAACUG
ensembl:lncRNA